GACGCUGGCGGCAGGCCUAACACAUGCAAGUCGAGCGGCAGCGGGAAAGUAGCUUGCUACUUUUGCCGGCGAGCGGCGGACGGGUGAGUAAUGCCUGGGGAUCUGCCCAGUCGAGGGGGAUAACAGUUGGAAACGACUGCUAAUACCGCAUACGCCCUACGGGGGAAAGGAGGGGAACCUUCGGGCCCUUCGCGAUUGGAUGAGCCCAGGUGGGAUUAGCUAGUUGGUGAGGUAAUGGCUCACCAAGGCGACGAUCCCUAGCUGGUCUGAGAGGAUGAUCAGCCACACUGGAACUGAGACACGGUCCAGACUCCUACGGGAGGCAGCAGUGGGGAAUAUUGCACAAUGGGGGAAACCCUGAUGCAGCCAUGCCGCGUGUGUGAAGAAGGCCUUCGGGUUGUAAAGCACUUUCAGCGAGGAGGAAAGGUUGGCGCCUGAUACCUGUCAACUGUGACGUUACUCGCAGAAGAAGCACCGGCUAACUCCGUGCCAGCAGCCGCGGUAAUACGGGAGGGUGCAAGCGUUAAUCGGAAUUACUGGGCGUAAAGCGCACGCAGGCGUGUUGGAUAAGUUUAGAUGUGAAAGCCCCGGGCUCAACCUGGGAAUUGCAUUUAAAACUGUC
rnacentral:rRNA from 1 species